GUUCAGCGGGUAGUCCUACCUGAUUUGAGGUCAGAGUCAAAAAUUGCCCGAGGGCGAUUGUAAGCAGUCAUCACAACCUUCACCGACGAAACUUAUUACGCCGACUACGGUGCUAUCCCGCUAAGUCUUUUAAGGCGAGCCGGCAGAGCGGCAACACCCAAGUCCAAUCUCCUCGGAAACCCGAGGGAUUGAGUCUACAUGACACUCAAACAGGCAUGCCCUCCGGAAUACCAAAGGGCGCAAUGUGCGUUCAAAGAUUCGAUGAUUCACUGAAUUCUGCAAUUCACAUUACUUAUCGCAUUUCGCUGCGUUCUUCAUCGAUGCGAGAGCCAAGAGAUCCGUUGUUGAAAGUUUUGUUUUGUUAUGAUAUAUGACGUUCAUUACACUAUGUUUGUAAAAUAGCCCCGAAGGGCACGGUUCACAGAGGUUUGGAAUAGUUAUAAGCCCGUGAGGGCGUUCACUAAUGAUCCUUCCGCAGGUUCACCUACGGAAACCUUGUUACGACUUUUACUUCCUCUAAAUGACCAAG
rnacentral:misc_RNA from 1 species